rnacentral:rRNA from 1 species
UCAAUAGCUUCGGCUAGCGAGGAGAGUCGAUGAUACUGUCGUGCCGAGAAAAGCCUCUAAACGAGAUUGUAUGUUGCCCGUACCGUAAACCGACACAGGUGGGUAGGUAGAGUAUACUAAGGGGCGCGAGAUAACUCUCUCUAAGGAACUCGGCAAAAUGACUCCGUAACUUCGGGAGAAGGAGUGCCUUAUUUAUAAGGUUGCAAUAACAAGAUCCAAGCAACUGUUUAUCAAAAACACAGGUCUCCGCUAAGUCGUAAGACGAUGUAUGGGGGCUGACGCCUGCCCAGUGCCAGAAGGUUAAAGAAGUUGGUUAGUGUAUGCGAAGCUGAUGACUGAAGCCCUGGUGAACGUCGGCCGUAACAAUAACGGUCCUAAGGUAGCGAAAUUCCUUGUCGGGUAAGUUCCGACCCGCACGAAAGGCGUAAUGAUUUGGAUACUGUCUCGGAGAGAGGCUCGGUGAAAUAGACUUGUCUGUGAAGAUGCGGACUACCUGCACCAGGACAGAAAGACCCUAUGAAGCUUUACUGUAACUUGAAAUUGGAAUUGGACUUUGCUUGCGCAGUAUAGGUGGGAAGCGUUGAAGAUAUUCUUGCGGGAGUAUUGGAGCUAUCAGUGAGAUACCACUCUUGUAAUGUUAGAUUUCUAACUUUGAACCAUAAUCUGGUCAAAGAACAGUUUCAGGUGGGCAGUUUGACUGGGGCGGUCGCCUCCCAAAUGGUAACGGAGGCGUACAAAGGUUUCCUCUGAACGGAUAGAAAUCGUAUCUAGAGUGUAAAGGCAUAAGGAAGCUUGACUGUGAGACCUACAAGUCGAGCAGGGACGAAAGUCGGUCUUAGUGAUCUGACGGUACUGAGUGGAAAGGCCGUCACUCAACGGAUAAAAGUUACUCUAGGAUAACAGGCUGAUCUCCCCCAAGAGUUCACAUCGACGGGGAGGUUUGGCACCUCGAUGUCGGCUCAUCGCAUCCUGGGGCGGUAGUACGUCCCAAGGAUUGGGCUGUUCGCCCAUGAAAGCGGUACGCGAGCUGGGUUCAGAACGUCGUGAGACAGUUCGGUCCAUAUCCGGUGUAGGCGUUAGAAUAUUGAGAGGAGCCUUCUUUAGUACGAGAGGACCGAGAAGGACACACCGCUGGUGUACCAGUUAUCGUGCCAACGGUAAACGCUGGGUAGCUAUGUGUGGAGUGGAUAACCGCUGAAAGCAUCUAAGUGGGAAGCCCACCUCAAGAUGAGUAUUCUCAUC